GAAACAGGUGCUAAUACCGUAUAUCUCUAAGGAUCGCAUGAUCCUUAGAUGAAAGAUGGUUCUGCUAUCGCUUUUAGAUGGACCCGCGGCGUAUUAACUAGUUGGKGGGGUAACGGCCUACCAAGGKGAUGAUACSUAGCCGAACUGAGAGGUUGAUCGGCCACAUUGGGACUGARACACGGCCCAAACUCCUACGGGAGGCAGCAGUAGGGAAUCUUCCACAAUGGACGCAAGUCUGAUGGAGCAACSCCSCGUGAGUGAAGAAGGKCUUCSGAUCGUAAAACUCUGUUGUUAGARAAGAACACGAGUGARAGUAACUGUUCAUUCGAUGACGGUAUCUAACCAGCAAGUCACGGCUAACUACGUGCCAGCAGCCGCGG
rnacentral:rRNA from 1 species